rnacentral:rRNA from 1 species
AGGCAGCAGUGGGGAAUAUUGCACAAUGGGCGCAAGCCUGAUGCAGCGAUGCCGCGUGCGGGAUGAAGGCCCUAGGGUUGUAAACCGCUUUCAGUAGGGAAGAAAAUGACGGUACCUACAGAAGAAGGUGCGGCCAACUACGUGCCAGCAGCCGCGGUGACACGUAGGCACCAAGCGUUGUCCGGAUUUAUUGGGCGUAAAGAGCUCGUAGGCGGUUCAGUUAGUCGGGUGUGAAAACUCUGGGCUCAACCCAGAGACGCCACCCGAUACUGCUGUGACUAGAGUACGGUAGGGGAGUGGGGAAUUCCUGGUGUAGCGGUGAAAUGCGCAGAUAUCAGGAGGAACACCAGUGGCGAAGGCGCCACUCUGGGCCGUAACUGACGCUGAGGAGCGAAAGCAUGGGUAGCAAACAGGAUUAGAUACCCUGGUAGUCCAUGCCGUAAACGUUGGGCACUAGGUGUGGGUCUCAACCAACGAGAUCCGCGCCGUCGCUAACGCAUUAAGUGCCCCGCCUGGGGAGUACGGUCGCAAGACUAAAACUCAAAU